rfam:Picea glauca, whole genome shotgun sequence.
UGAUAGGGGUUAAUGUGUUAAUACUAGCCUAACCUUGACAUUGAAUCUACACCCCCUAACCUUCUAAAUUAUCGACCCAUAACCCAUAACCCUUCUAAAGACACAAUGUGAUUUAUUCCCAUUGUUUUGCAUGUCAAAGUGAAGAAAUUCAACCAAGAGCGGGUAAACGGUGGGAGUAACUAUGACUAUUUUAAGGUAUACAAAUUCCUCGACAUCUAAUUUGUGACACACAUGAAUGGAUCAUAACGAUAUUCCUCACUGUCCCUAGCUACUAUAUUCUAGAGAAACCACAUCCAAGGGAAUGGGUUUGGCAGAAUUAGUGGGGAAAGAAGAUCGUCAUGUUGAGCUUGACUCUAGUCCUAACCCAUUCAUAGUUUGGGA